rnacentral:rRNA from 1 species
GACGUAGGGGGCCAGCGUUGUUCGGAAUUACUGGGUGUAAAGGGUUCGUAGGCGGUGCGGCAAGUCGGGAGUGAAAUCUCUGGGCUUAACCCAGAGGCUGCUUCCGAAACUGCUGUGCUUGAGUGUGGGAGAGGCGCGUGGAAUUGCAGGUGUAGCGGUGAAAUGCGCAGAUAUCAGGAAGAACACCCGUGGCGAAGGCGGCUCUCUGGGACGGUACUGACGCUGAGGCGCGAAAGCUAGGGGAGCAAACAGG